rnacentral:rRNA from 1 species
CAGUAGCCGCGGUAAUACGAAGGGGGCUAGCGUUGCUCGGAAUGACUGGGCGUAAAGGGCGCGUAGGCGGCGAUCAAAGUCAGGCGUGAAAUUCCUGGGCUCAACCUGGGGGCUGCGCUUGAUACUUGGUUGCUUGAGUGGGGAAGAGGGUCGUGGAAUUCCCGGUGUAGAGGUGAAAUUCGUAGAUAUUGGGAAAAACACCAGUGGCGAAGGCGGCCCACUGGACCGACACUGACGCUGAGGCGCGAAAGCGUGGGGAGCAAACAGGAUUAGAUACCCCAGUAGUCCCUGUCUCUUAUAC